GUUGAAGAGAGCAAUAUCAAGAUUGUUUCUUUCUUUUGCCAACACAGACUUCCGGAUGGCGUUAUCUCUUCGGCAUUCUCUUCGGCUUCUUUAUAUUUGAGACGGAGGUACCCGGAGACAGUGUUUACUUGCAGAUGACUAAUAUUAAUCGAUCAAUUCAGAUUGAUGGUCGAAUCUCAACUUCCUUUAGUCUGGUAUUUCACUCCUUCACCCAUCAGUUCCAUGAUGGAAUUAUUGCCGAACCAAUGAUCAUCGGUGUCGCCACAGCUUCGGGCCUAGAUUCAUAAGAAAAUGGUUUUUGUGGCGAAGGUCUGAGUCGUUCGGGAGGCGGUGAAAUAUUUGUUGUUGUAUGUCCGGCUGGAGCAGGUUCUUCAAUUGGACUUUCGAUCUUAAUUUAUGCUGCUAUUUGAUGUUCACCAGAUGGGCUUUGGUAAACCGUAUUUUGGUCCUUUAUUGGUCUUAUUAUAAUUCCUUUUGUCCUAAACCGAUGUCAUUUAUAGUUUCCU
rnacentral:lncRNA from 1 species